UGGGGAAUAUUGGACAAUGGAGGGAACUCUGACCCAGCCAUGCCGCGUGCAGGAUGAAGGCGUUAUGCGUUGUAAACUGCUUUUAUAUAGGAAGAAAUAGUCCUUGCGAGGAAAGUUGACGGUACUAUAUGAAUAAGCACCGGCUAACUCCGUGCCAGCAGCCGCGGUAAUACGGAGGGUGCAAGCGUUGUCCGGAUUUAUUGGGUUUAAAGGGUGCGUAGGCGGUUUAUUAAGUCAGUGGUGAAAGACGGUCGCUCAACGAUUGCAGUGCCAUUGAUACUGGUAGACUUGAGUAUGAUUGAGGUAGCUGGAAUGGAUAGUGUAGCGGUGAAAUGCAUAGAUAUUAUCCAGAACACCAGUUGCGUAGGCAAGUUACUAAGUCAUAACUGACGCUGAGGCACGAAAGUGUGGGUAUCAAACAGGAUUAGAUACCCCGGUAGUCCCUGAGCGGGCUGGCAAGGCGCAU
rnacentral:rRNA from 1 species